GACGAACGCUGGCGGCGUGCUUAACACAUGCAAGUCGAACGGAAAGGCCCUGCUUUUGUGGGGUGCUCGAGUGGCGAACGGGUGAGUAACACGUGAGUAACCUGCCCUUGACUUUGGGAUAACUUCAGGAAACUGGGGCUAAUACCGGAUAGGAGCUCCUGCUGCAUGGUGGGGGUUGGAAAGUUUCGGCGGUUGGGGAUGGACUCGCGGCUUAUCAGCUUGUUGGUGGGGUAGUGGCUUACCAAGGCUUUGACGGGUAGCCGGCCUGAGAGGGUGACCGGCCAGAUUGGGACUGAGAUACGGCCCAGACUGCUACGGGAGGCAGCAGUGGGGAAUAUUGCACAAUGGGCGGAAGCCUGAUGCAGCAACGCCGCGUGCGGGAUGACGGCCUGCGGGUUGUAAACCGCUUUCGCCUGUGACGAAGCGUGAGUGACGGUAAUGGGUAAAGAAGCACCGGCUAACUACGUG
rnacentral:rRNA from 1 species